CGAACGUGGGUAACCUGCCCAUCAGAGGGGAUAACAUUCGGAAACGGAUGCUAAAACCGCAUAGGUCUUCGAACCGCAUGGUUUGAAGAGGAAAAGAGGCGCAAGCUUCUGCUGAUGGAUGGACCCGCGGUGCAUUAGCUAGUUGGUGAGGUAACGGCUCACCAAGGCCGUGAUGCAUAGCCGACCUGAGAGGGUGAUCGGCCACAUUGGGACUGAGACACGGCCCAA
rnacentral:rRNA from 1 species